AGCGAACGCUGGCGGCAGGCUUAACACAUGCAAGUCGAGCGGGCCUUUCGGGGUCAGCGGCGGACGGGUGAGUAACGCGUGGGAACGUGCCCUCUGGUUCGGAAUAACUCAGGGAAACUUGAGCUAAUACCGGAUACGCCCUUUUGGGGAAAGGCUUGCUGCCGGAGGAUCGGCCCGCGUCUGAUUAGCUAGUUGGUGAGGUAACGGCUCACCAAGGCGACGAUCAGUAGCUGGCCUGAGAGGAUGAUCAGCCACACUGGGACUGAGACACGGCCCAGACUCCUACGGGAGGCAGCAGUGGGGAAUAUUGGACAAUGGGCGCAAGCCUGAUCCAGCCAUGCCGCGUGAGUGAUGAAGGCCUUAGGGUUGUAAAGCUCUUUUAUCCGGGACGAUAAUGACGGUACCGGAGGAAUAAGCCCCGGCUAACUUCGUG
rnacentral:rRNA from 1 species